UGUUUAAAUUGGCAGUUCUCUUUUUGGGCUUGGACAGAACAUACCCUUGGGUGGCCCAAAUGUUUUUAACACUGGAAAGUGCACUUUUAUUGUUUCCAAAUUUCACAAUGCCCCUCAAGUAUGCCCAUGCACACAUUUCACUUUGAGUGUGGCAGUUAAGUUGGACUGCUUUAAUAAUCUCACUUUUGACUGAGAUUUCCGUUUGGAAUGCAGGUGAGAAAAGAAAAGA